GAUGAACGCUAGCUACAGGCUUAACACAUGCAAGUCGAGGGGCAGCAGGAGAUUAGCUUGCUAAUCUUGCUGGCGACCGGCGCACGGGUGAGUAACGCGUAUCCAACCUUCCCUAUAGUAGGGGAUAGCCCGGCGAAAGUCGGAUUAAUACCCUAUGUUCUUCAUAGCUGACAUCUGAAAUGAAGCAAAGAUUUAUCGCUAUAGGAUGGGGAUGCGUCUGAUUAGGUUGUAGGCGGGGUAACGGCCCACCUAGCCGACGAUCAGUAGGGGUUCUGAGAGGAAGGUCCCCCACAUUGGUACUGAGACACGGACCAAACUCC
rnacentral:rRNA from 1 species